rnacentral:lncRNA from 1 species
UUUGACCGGGUUGAGACAACUCAGACGGAUAUUGAGUCCGAAUCAGUGCACUUGUGGAGUGCUGUCCGGUAAGUUGCCGAGGCUUAUUGGGAACUAAAGAGGAAUCGAGGUCGAUCCUGUAAAAAAAAAAAGAAAAAAAAGGGAAAAAAAAGAGAAGAAAAAAAAAGAAAAAGAAAAGCAAUGCAAGAAAUGCCUGAACCAAAAAAAAAGAUAUCAAACGGUCAGGUAGGAUAAUGACUGCCAAGGGGCAUAGAAAGACAAAAGGAUAAGUUG